UACAGAUGCUCCAGGACCCCACCUUGCAAUCAGCUGCUGGAUUCCUCCUCCUGUCAGCCACCAGACUGAUGUCCUGCGCCUGGCCAGAGGUAGCUGAGUCAAGCCAGGCAUCCCUCCUUCCCCUAAGUCUGCCACCUCAACCCACAUGGAUGGGUGACCCCCAUGGGACGGUGGCCUUGGUAUCUGCACACACAUGGUGCCUGCAUCAGGGAUGGGCGAGUCUCACCACUACCCAGAAGAAGAACAUGCCAUGCUGUUAUUACAACCUAACUGGAUCCUUUACAAUCCAUUGUAUCUCUCAUUCUAGUUAUUUGUUGCCUCAUCACAUUGUCUAGGAUACACACACACACACACACACACACACACUUAUUUAUUUAUUUAUUUUUGUAGUGAUGAUUUAACCCAUGGGCCCUUUGCACUUCUAAGUUUUUUUGUUUUAUUUUGGUAUGGCAUGGUGAUUGUAGUUAGUAAUAUUGUAUUAUUUACUUUAAAU
rnacentral:lncRNA from 1 species